AUUAAAUUAUUAUUGCAGAAGUAGAUUAGGUGAUUAAAAAAAUUCUAGGGCAACAAGAUACAGCAGAGUUGCUGAAUGACAUUCACUUAAAUUGUCAUACCAGCCACAAAAAAUAAAGCAUCCAACAUUAACUUAAAAAAAAUCACCUAAAAACGAAGUUGAAAUACUGACUUAGUUGAUUUUAUUCAUUUGGACAGACCUCGGAGCAAGCUAAAGCAUUUUUAUUGAUCUUCUAAGAAGCAGAAGGUUGAAUAUCAUCUACAAUAUUGCUGCAACUGCAAAUUCUGCUUGGCACGGCUAAGUUCUCUUGCCGUAACUGAGGAGCUUCUUACUGCCAGAGCAGCAAAUCUAUCCGCCAAAUCCCUCCGAUGUGUCUGACACUGUGAGCACCAGAUGUGGAUCUCAACCCUUCAACAUCUGGCUUGACAACAUCUUACCAUCUCACCCGGUAAAGGUGGAGAGGGCCUGCAUCUCAUCCAACAUCCCUUUACAUUGGGGUCCCACAAGUCUCAGUGCUAGGGUUGAUGGUUGCAGAACGAAUGAUGGACAUCUAAAGACUCUUCCAGGAGUGGUUUCUCUAAAAGCCAGGCUGCUUAAUGGACUGGCUAACAUUAAUGAGAGCGGGAAGUUGCAAGGAAGUAGAGUCGCAGCUCUCUGAGGGGCGUCAGUGCAGUUGAGAGUCUGCUUCUGCCAUGCGUUGGACAGAAUUAUCCUGUUUCAUAUUUCAGUGCUCUGAAGGAAUCUUUUGGCCUGAAAGUCAGGAUCUGAAACCGACUA